GAAAUGCGAUAAGUAAUGUGAAUUGCAGAAUUCAGUGAAUCAUCGAAUCUUUGAACGCACAUUGCGCCCGGCAGCAAUCUGCCGGGCAUGCCUGUCCGAGCGUCAUUUCUGCCCUCGAGCGCGGUUCGGCCCCUAGCGGGCCGGCCGCCACCCGGUGUUGGGGCGCUGCGGGCCCUCGUGCCCGCAGGCCCUGAAAUGAAGUGGCGGUCCCGCCGCGGCGCCCCCUGCGUAGUAGUAAAGCACCUCGCAUCGGGUCCCGGCGGAGGCCAGCCGUCGAACCUCUCUUUUGAUGGUUUGACCUCGGAUCAGGUAGGGUUACCCGCUGAACUUAAGC
rnacentral:misc_RNA from 1 species